AUGAUCGAGUGAGUGAUUGCUCGAACACGAAGUAAGAUAGCCCUUAGGCUUUAAUAAUUGAGUGAGUGAUUGCUUCAAACUCGAACUUGAAGUAUUCUUAGCCCGUAGUCCUUUUAUGAUCGAGUGAGUGAUUGCUCAAACUCGAAGUAAGAUAGCCCUUAGGCUUUAAUAAUUGAGUGAGUGAUUGUUUCGAACUCGAACUCAAAAUAUCUUAGCCCGUAGGCUUUUUAUGAUCGAGUGAGUGAUUGCUCGAACUCGAAGUAAGAUAGCCCGUAGGCUUUAAUAAUUAAGUGAGUAAUUGUUUCGAACUCGAACUCAGAGUAUCGUAGCCCGUAGGCCUUUUAUGAUCGAGUGAGUGAUUGCUCGAACUCGAAGUAAGAUAGCCCUUAGGCUUUAAUAAUUGAGUGAGUGAUUGCUCGAACUCGAAGUAAGAUAGCCCUUAGGCUUUAAUAAUUGAGUGAGUGAUUGUUUCGAACUCAAACUCAGAGUAUCAUAGCCCGUAGGCCUUUUAUGAUCGAGUGAGUGAUUGCUCGAACUCGAAGUAAGAUAGCCCUUAGGAUUUAAUAAUUGAGUGAGUGAUUGCUCGAACUCGAAGUAAGAUAGCCCUUAGGCUUUAAUAAUUGAGUGAAUGAUUGUUUCGAACUCGAACUCGAACUCAAAGUAUCUUAGCCCGUAGGCUUUUUAUGAUCGAGUGAGUGAUUGCUCAAACUCGAAGUAAGAUAGCCCUUAGGCUUUAAUAAUUGAGUGAGUGAUUGCUUGAACUCGAAGUAAGAUUGCCCUUAGGCUUUAAUAAUUGAGUGAGUGAUUGUUUCGAACUCAAACUCAGAGUAUCGUAGCCCGUAAGCCUUUUAUGAUCGAGUGAGUGAUUGCUCGAACUCGAAGUAAGAUAGCCCUUAGGCUUUAAUAAUUGAGUGAGUGAUUGUUUCGAACUCGAACUCAAAGUAUCUUAGCCCGUAGGCUUUUUAUGAUCGCUUGUAUCAAAAUCCUUUUGAUGGUGGUUGGCCUUUAAGCCUGUUUGAAUCAUGAAGCAGGAAGAUCUUUUCAAAGUGUGAGAUAUCUGAAAAAAGAAGAAGUUCUCCUUUAUAAGUCAUUGU
rnacentral:lncRNA from 1 species